GACCUGCGGAGGGAUCAUUACUGAGUUUACGCUCUACAACCCUUUGUGAACAUACCUAUAACUGUUGCUUCGGCGGGUAGGGUCUCCGUGACCCUCCCGGCCUCCCGCCCCCGGGCGGGUCGGCGCCCGCCGGAGGAUAACCAAACUCUGAUUUAACGACGUUUCUUCUGAGUGGUACAAGCAAAUAAUCAAAACUUUUAACAACGGAUCUCUUGGUUCUGGCAUCGAUGAAGAACGCAGCGAAAUGCGAUAAGUAAUGUGAAUUGCAGAAUUCAGUGAAUCAUCGAAUCUUUGAACGCACAUUGCGCCCGCCAGCAUUCUGGCGGGCAUGCCUGUUCGAGCGUCAUUUCAACCCUCAAGCUCUGCUUGGUGUUGGGGCCCUACAGCUGAUGUAGGCCCUCAAAGGUAGUGGCGGACCCUCCCGGAGCCUCCUUUGCGUAGUAACUUUACGUCUCGCACUGGGAUCCGGAGGGACUCUUGCCGUAAAACCCCCAAUUUUCCAAAGGUUGACCUCGGAUCAGGUAGGAAUACCCGCUGAACUUAAGC
rnacentral:rRNA from 1 species